UACAGAGGGUGCGAGCGUUAAUCGGAAUUACUGGGCGUAAAGCGAGUGUAGGUGGCUUAUUAAGUCACAUGUGAAAUCCCUGGGCUUAACCUAGGAACUGCGUGUGAUACUGGUGAGCUAGAGUAUGUGAGAGGAAAGUAGAAUUCCAGGUGUAGCGGUGAAAUGCGUAGAGAUCUGGAGGAAUACCGAUGGCGAAGGCAGCUUUCUGGCAUAAUACUGACACUGAGACUCGAAAGCGUGGGUAGCAAACAGGAUUAGAUACCCUGGUAGUCCACGCCGUAAACGAUGUCUACUAGCCGUUGGGGCCCUUGAGGCUUUAGUGGCGCAGUUAACGCGAUAAGUAGACCGCCUGGGGAGUACGGCCGCAAGGUUAAA
rnacentral:rRNA from 1 species